rnacentral:rRNA from 1 species
AAUAGAUACCCCAGGUAGUCCACGCCGUAAACGAUGAGUGCUAAGUGUUAGAGGUUUCCGCCCGUUUAGUGCUGAAGUUAACGCAUUAAGCACUCCGCCUGGGGAGUACGGCCGCAAGGCUGAAACUCAAAGGAAUUGACGGGGGCCCGCACAAGCGGUGGAGCAUGUGGUUUAAUUCGAAGCAACGCGAAGAACCUUACCAGGUCUUGACAUCCUCUGACAACCCUAGAGAUAGGGCUUCUCCUUCGGGAGCAGAGUGACAGGUGGUGCAUGGUUGUCGUCAGCUCGUGUCGUGAGAUGUUGGGUUAAGUCCCGCAACGAGCGCAACCCUUGAUCUUAGUUGCCAUCAUUAAGUUGGGCACUCUAAGGUGACUGCCGGUGACAAACCGGAGGAAGGUGGGGAUGACGUCAAAUCAUCAUGCCCCUUAUGACCUGGGCUACACACGUGCUACAAUGGACGGUACAAAGAGCUGCAAGACCGCGAGGUGGAGCUAAUCUCAUAAAACCGUUCUCAGUUCGGA